CUGAACACAGUGUUCGUGAUGAUGAGUUCAAACUCUGAGCAUUUGCUGAGUAGCAGUAGGCCAUUGUUGUUCAUUUUGCCCAAGCCGUAUUUGCCGAGCAUUCCUUUCCAUCUUUCAUGUUCCUGUCCAACGCAGGCAUUGAAGUCUCCCAGUAGUAUCAGCUUGUCAUUGGUGGGCACAGAGUGCAGGACGGCACUCAGGUCAGAGUAGAACUGCUCAAUGGUCUCCUCUGUGCUGGUCAGUGUUCAGGCAUAUGCGCUGAUGAUUGUGGCAUACUGGUCUUUGCUGAGAGGCAAAAGGAUCUUCAUGAGCCUCUCGCUGAUUCCCACAGGCAAGUCUGGCAGCUGUUUGAGCAAACUGGUCUUGAUGGCCAGGCCAACACCGUGGAUUCUGUCUUCACUUGAGGCUCUACCUUUCCAGAAGAAGGUGUAUCCAGUGGUGGGUUCGCUGAGUGAUCCCUCUUCUGUAAAAACAAACAUGAAGACCUAAAAAAGGAACCAAUCUGAAAACAAGUUGUGACAAUAUGUGUUACAGGGCUCAGACUGUGUCAUCCAGAUUAUAUGUAAAUUGGCAUUUCAAUGUCUUCAGACCCCUUUGCCCAGCUACAGGGAAAUCAGUCCAAACACACCCCAAUACAAAGUUACAUAUUAUAUCUCUGAAAAAAAUGUUGUCAUUACUGUAUCUAAAAUUAUGAAUUUACACAAUGAUAAAGACUUUACUGAAUGACCAGAGUCCAUUUGAUC
rnacentral:lncRNA from 1 species